AGAGUUUGAUCCUGGCUCAGGAUGAACGCUGGCGGCGUGCCUAAUACAUGCAAGUCGAACGAGAUUUUAUUAAUUGAUUACUUCGGUAUGAUUUUUCUAAAAUCGAGUGGCGGACGGGUGAGUAACACGUGGGUAACCUGCCCUUAAGUGGGGGAUAACAUUUGGAAACAGAUGCUAAUACCGCAUAAACCUCAGAAACACAUGUUUCUGAGUUGAAAGGCGGCUUUCGAGCUGUCGCUUUUGGAUGGACCCGCGGCGUAUUAGCUAGUUGGUGAGGUAAAGGCUCACCAAGGCAGUGAUACGUAGCCGACCUGAGAGGGUGAUCGGCCACAUUGGGACUGAGACACGGCCCAAACUCCUACGGGAGGCAGCAGUAGGGAAUCUUCCACAAUGGACGAAAGUCUGAUGGAGCAACGCCGCGUGAGUGAAGAAGGUUUUCGGAUCGUAAAACUCUGUUGUUGGAGAAGAACACGUUUGAGAGUAACUGUUCAGGCGUUGACGGUAUCCAACCAGAAAGCCACGGCUAACUACGUGCCAGCAGCCGCGGUAAUACGUAGGUGGCAAGCGUUAUCCGGAUUUAUUGGGCGUAAAGCGAGCGCAGGCGGUUUCUUAAGUCUGAUGUGAAAGCCUUCGGCUUAACCGAAGAAGUGCAUCGGAAACCGGGAAACUUGAGUGCAGAAGAGGACAGUGGAACUCCAUGUGUAGCGGUGAAAUGCGUAGAUAUAUGGAAGAACACCAGUGGCGAAGGCGGCUGUCUGGUCUGUAACUGACGCUGAGGCUCGAAAGCAUGGGUAGCGAACAGGAUUAGAUACCCUGGUAGUCCAUGCCGUAAACGAUGAAUGUAGGGGUUGGAGGGUUUC
rnacentral:rRNA from 1 species